GUUUGAUCCUGGCUCAGGACGAACGCUGGCGGCGCGCUUAACACAUGCAAGUCGAGCGAGAACCAGUCCUUCGGGACUGGGGACAGCGGCGAACGGGUGAGUAACACGUGAGUAAUCCACCCCCGACACUGGGAUAGCCCGGGGAAACCCGGAUUAAUACCGGAUAGCCACUUCGGUUUUCGGACCGGAAUGAAAAGGUAGCUUCGGCCUCCGGUUGGGGACGAGCUCGCGGCGGAUUAGCUUGUUGGCGGGGUAAAGGCCCACCAAGGCGACGAUCCGUAGCUGGUCUGAGAGGACGAUCAGCCACACUGGGACUGAGACACGGCCCAGACUCCUACGGGAGGCAGCAGUGGGGAAUCUUGUGCAAUGGGCGAAAGCCUGACACAGCGACGCCGCGUGAGGGAAGAAGGCCUUCGGGUUGUAAACCUCUUUCAGGAGGGACGAAGCUACUCGGGUGAAUAGCCCAGAGGGUGACGGUACCUCCAGAAGAAGCCCCGGCUAACUACGUGCCAGCAGCCGCGGUAAUACGUAGGGGGCAAGCGUUGUCCGGAUUUAUUGGGCGUAAAGAGCGUGUAGGCGGCCAGAUAGGUCAGCUGUGAAAACUCGAGGCUCAACCUCGAGACGUCGGUUGAAACCAUUUGGCUAGAGUCCGGAAGAGGAGAGUGGAAUUCCCGGUGUAGCGGUGAAAUGCGCAGAUAUCGGGAAGAACACCCGUGGCGAAGGCGGCUCUCUGGGACGGUACUGACGCUGAGACGCGAAAGCGUGGGGAGCGAACAGGAUUAGAUACCCUGGUAGUCCACGCCGUAAACGA
rnacentral:rRNA from 1 species